AGUGCCAUCAGCAUGUAUAGAAAAGGCUGGGAAAGGCAGGUUUAGGAGUGGAGGAAGCUUGUUUUGACCAUGUUCAGUUUGAGAUGUCAUUUAGCCAUCAAGAGGAAAUAUGUGGGCAGGUUGGCUAUAGGAGUCCAGAAUUCUGGGGAGUCUGGACUGGAUACAUAAAUUUGGCUGUUAUCAAGGUAUAUAAAUACAUAAACAUAAAAUAAACAUAAAGCUUUGACACUGGAUAGGAUUGACUAUUGUGUAAGUCCAGAUGAAGAAGAAAAAACAACUCUGAACUGAACUUUGAUCUACUCCAAUGUUCAGAGGUUGGGAGAUGAUGAAUUAGAGAAGGAAGUGGAAAAGAAGUGACAAUAAAUUAGGAAGUGAAGAGGGAAUUAGGAAGCCAAGUAAGAAAGUAUUUCAAGGAGGAGAGAUCAGAUAUUAUGAGGCCUGAUGUAUAAUAUCAACUUUCAGAAGAGGAUUGGAGAGAUAAGCAUUUUUGGAGGGGGUUCAAGAAGGCACGAAAAGAGAGCAAUUGAUGAUGACUUACACAUAAAAAUCUUUCAAAGAAAGAUCUAUUUCAAUGAUCUCUUCUAGAAAAUUCUUUCACCCGAGGGUAAUUCCAUCAAUAGUAACUGUAAAUAUUUGUUAUUAGUUAGACGCUCUGUUAAAAAAAAGUGAGCAUUUUAUAUACAGUAUCUCAUUUAAUCCUUAAAUAUUAAAGACAGCUUUCGGGGAAGUUGUCCAGAGUCAAUCAACUCCAGUUGUACAGCAGGACCUGCCCAUACCCACUGAGUUACAGGAGCAUUUUACUUAGAAUAACUCUUCAUCAAAUGGCUUAUUUGGCCCCGUAUAUUCUCAAACAGAAUCAGAAAGUAGAGGAAAGGAGGAAGAUGUUCAAAUUGCGUGGUUGGAUUUCAUCUCCUAAUUGGAUCUGCUUCUGACCAGCUAUGUGACCUGUUACUUUAUUUCUAAGUCUCAGUUUCCACAUCUGUCAAAUGAGAAUUAUAACAUGUCGACCCCAUAGAACUGAGGUGAUGAUUAAAUGAAAAAAGCGUAGUUUUUGUUAGCCAAAACUGGAUUAACUCAAUGAUUGCACACCUAUAAUUAAAUCUUAAACGUAAAUAAAAGCAUAAGACUCAACUUUGAUUCAGUUCCCUUCAUAUUUGAAAAAAUAAUAUUUCACAGUUGAAUGAGAGCGUGGACUGGUUUUAAAGGUAUUAGUGCCCUAUAUUUGAUGCAUAUGCAUAAUAGAUUCACGUAUAAAGUGAAAAAUUUCAUCUGAUUUAAGGAGUAAUUUUCAAAAAGAAUUCUCGAAUAGUAUGUAGUGUUUAUGAAAAGCGUUUCUUGUUAUAUUUCUAUCUUUAAGUCAACACUUUUAUAACAAAAGAUUUAUCCCCUUUUAUAACAAAGAAUUCUGACCAUUGUACAGAGACCAUACCCAUAUCUAUCUAUCUCCAUAUCUAUAUCUAUAUGAUCUAUAUCUAUCUAUAUGUCCACUAAGAGUCACAGUGCCACCAGUUACAGAAAUUUAAUCCUAUUGGUUUGGCUCUAUUUUGUUUUAUUUUUUAUAAAUCUUAGGAGGAAAAGUUUUUAAAAAUUCGUUUUAUGUUUUUAAGUCAAGAGUCAGAUGUGAAGAACAGGACAGGGGAGAAGAAAGAGGAAAGGAAAUCUUUUCUAUACUAUCAGAUCAAAUUUUAUUUUAAAAAUACAAUUUUUGCAAAUAAAGGCUUCAGACUUCUUCAAACACAUUGCAUAAUAUUUCUUAGUAUUCCACUUGUAAGAGAGAACUCAGUCCCUUACAAAUUACUGGCUGAGUCAUGCAAAUCACGGUCUUGAUUCUAUCAGUUCCAGAAUCUUUUUAUGAUCUGAUAACGUAACAAUAUGAACCUACUGGAUUAACGUUUCCCAGAGUGUGUUCCUUGGAGAAUACUCAUCAGACGUGUUAUCAGAAAGGGAGUGCUACUGUUGAUUAUAUUUGAGGCAUUUGCAUUGAACAAUGUUCAUCACCGAAAACUCCCAACAUGUGAAAAAUGUGCACUGUGAUUUUUCUAGCAUAUGCAGCCUUAUACAGCUUGCUAAAUUAUUUCACAGUGGAAUCCUAUUUCAAAAAAGCAUAUUAACAAUGUACACCUUAGAAAAGCUGAUUGAGAUCAAAUUAAAUCCACUUCCAAAAUAAACCCAUUGUUAUUCGUCAUCUUUACCUGCGUCUUUCUUUAGUAGUGAUGCUUUUAUAAUCACUGCAAGCCUAGAGAGGUUCGUUCUCUCUGCCUUCUUGGUUCUCUCAGUCAGCAUCUAGCACUGUCACUUCAUCUACUGCAAAUAAUACUGGCCAGAGCUGAGGUGCUGCUGAUUCAGAACCUCAGAAACUAACUGAUGAUUCACUCCUUAGGAAAACAGAACCAGUCAAUACAAAUGGCUUUACUGGAUGUUGGAACUGCUUCAUGAAAAAAUAUCCUCUAUAGGUGAGAAGGAGAGAAGAAAAUCUGUAGCUGAUGGAUGACAAAACCAAGAGAAUAACUGAGAGAAGAGAAUGAGGUUUGCUUUUGCUCCCAGAGGGAGAGAGACCACUAGAUUUGCUGUGGGGUUUGAGAAACCAUGAGGCAAAAGCAAGUAAGCAAAAGGCAAAGCAGAAUGUCAGCAUUCGUUUUAGAUGCAGACAAGCUGACGGUAUGUAGGGCUGAGAAUGUUUUAUGCAUAUUUUAAAAGUUUUUAUAAAGUUUAUGUUAUAGCUGUUGGGUUUCAGAAGAAAAAUUUCAUAAUUCUUAAGGUUACUAUAAAUUCCCUAUGUAUUUAGAUAAGUUGAUCGACUAUCCUAAUUCCCUGGGAAAGCAACUCCAAAAUUGCUCCAUUUUUGGUGAAAUAUUACAGCUUUAUAAGAGUGAGUAGAAGAGAGCCUUUUAGUACAAAAUGAAGAGGCAAGUCAGAUUUCAUGGUGAUUAUUUCCUUGGACAAAUCAUUUAGUUUAAAUAGGCUUAAUUUCCUUCAUUUGUAAAGGGGGGAUACUGAGGAGGGAGAGACAGAACACACACACAAACAGGGAAAGGCUCUUGGGUAAUUAACAGCCAGACCCCGCUGGGGCAGAGUCAACAAUGACAGUGAAACGAUUCCUCUCCUCCAAAAGCUUAGGAUGAAAUAGGAAGAAUCAAAUGUGU
rnacentral:lncRNA from 1 species